CAAGCUUGUUUAAUGGGAAUAAAAUGUUCAAAAACUUGUAAAAAGCCUACUCACAAACAUCAGUAGGUACAGGCUCUAUAUUUCUGCCUGUACCUACUGAUGUUUGUGAGUAGGCUUUUUACAAGUUUUUGAACAUUUUAUUCCCAUUAAACAAGCUUGCUACGCUUAGAAGGCGCUGCAUUUUGUCUUUUUUUGCAAUCAAUCUCUCCUUCACUGAGAACCCUUUAUUGGUUGCCAGUAAAAGACAGAAUUAC